rnacentral:lncRNA from 1 species
CUCCUGUCCCAGCAACCGUCAGCCUCAGUCGCAGCCGGGCCUCGCUCCUCAACUUGGCAAAAAUGCCUACAGAGACUGAGAGAUGCAUCGAGUCCCUGAUUGCUGUUUUCCAGAAGUAUAGUGGGAAGGAUGGAAAUAGCUGUCAUCUCUCCAAAACUGAGUUCCUUUCCUUCAUGAACACGGAGCUGGCCGCCUUCACGAAGAACCAGAAGGACCCCGGUGUCCUCGACCGCAUGAUGAAGAAGCUGGACCUCAACAGUGAUGGGCAGCUAGAUUUCCAAGAGUUUCUCAACCUUAUUGGCGGCUUAGCUAUAGCAUGCCAUGAGUCCUUCCUCCAGACUUCCCAGAAGCGUAUCUAACCCUCUCCAUUCCCUUCCAGCCACCAAGUCAUCGCCUCCUCCACUCCUUCCCCCAUCCACACCUGCACUGAGCCCACCACACCUACCACACAUGCAGCCCACGCCUGACAGGGAAAAUAAAACAAUGUCAUUUUUUAAAAUGUAC